CCUCUUAUGAAACAAAUCGGGAAGGAGAUUUUAUGACGCGACGACGGCGGAGCGAUUGCGAUCAGCCGUCACUCUCGUCGACGUUUUGGUGGAGGCUUCCUUAAUCAAGUAGCUCCAGGUGAUCUUUUCAUUUGUGCUUCUUUUUUUUUUUUUUUUUCUCGUGAUUGCAUAAGCAAUAAUAAUACAAUCAUGGAAUGAGAUUUAUCUAUUGAAUUUGAUUCUAGGAUUUAGGGGUUUAGUAACUCUUGGAUUGAUAUUUUAGGGUUUUACCUCUCUCUUAAUGAUAUCUUUACAGAUUAAGAACUGUUACUUGUUGAAUCUUUUUUUUGUUUUCUUUUUUGGUUUCAAGCAUUUGAGGCAGAGCAUCACAGUUCAACAACGCCAAGUUUCACUAUAAUCAUGUAAGCUCUGAGACUCUUAUGGCCCGUGAAGGCGUUGUUUGAUAAGUUGAGCGCAAUCAAUUCCUUCAAGAGACCAAUGGACUCAGGAAUCUGUCCUUCAAGUUUGUUUCCAGAGAAAUCAAUGGUGCUGUAGGAAGCUUCCAAUAAAGCUGCUAUCGGACAGUUCAAGUAUCCGCAGCUCGGGAAACGCAAGAGGACCUUGAUCAGGAGGAGAGAGAUGGCCGAAGAAUCUGUUUGAACGGAGAGUAAAGACAUGCAAAUUGGGUAGAGCCUUCAGCCAGAAAGGAAACGUUCUAUUGAUGUCCUCUGGCUGAAGACAUGCGACAUGUUGUUUGAGAUUUUGAACAAGGUGACGAAAUUAUUGAAGCAAGCCGAGAGACAUAUCAAAAAAACGAACAAAUAAGAAACGUGAACAAGAAAAUCAACUUUCA